rnacentral:sRNA from 1 species
UUUUAGCCCCGAUUGCAGCGGCAUCCUUUUUAGGGUGCAAAACCCUAAAAAGAUAUAGCGUAAAGCGGGAAACAGC